rnacentral:lncRNA from 1 species
ACUACUAGCUUUAGGCGUCUCUUCGCAUUCACGGCCUAGAGCUACCAACCCAGACCCAAAAACCCCAACCAUGCCGCCGCGGCCACGCACUCCGGCUUCCGCCGCCGACUUCGUCGCCUCCAAGCUCGCCGCCCAAGGAAUUAGUAACCAUCAGGUCGACCGCGACUACCUCAACCACCUCCAGGACCUCCACCCCGGCGGCGAUUCCUUCGCCGACUUCGUCGCCGCGAAGCUCGCCGCCCAAGGAAUCAGCGCCCAUCAGGUCGACCCCGACUACCUCAACCACCUCCAGGACCUCCAGCACCUCCACCCCGGCGGCGGUUCCUCCGCCGACUUCGUCGCCGCGAAGCUCGCCGCCCAAGGAAUCAGCGCCCAUCAGGUCGACCCCGACUACCUCAGCCACCUACAGGACCUCCACCCCGGCAGCGAUUCCUCCGCCCCCGAGCGCCCUGCCCGCGGCCUUCUCGACUCCCUUCUCCACGCCAUCAAGUGCGAGCAGCCCGACGAUGGCGGAGCCCGAAUCGCCCUCCUCCCCUCCCCAGCCCCGGAAGGAAGCGACCCGCCCGGUGGAGGAGAAGAAACCCCCCGCGGAGAUCCCAGGGUACGACACCGCGGACAUGGAUGAGCACUACAGCACAUUCCUGAGGCACACGCGGGUGGUGAAAGGCAGGAUGGUGCUCGAGAUCGGCGGCAAGGUUAUUCCCUACGACCAGGUGGACAAGGCUGAUGGGGCAGAGAAGAAGGAUGGGGAGGAAGCGGCUGCCCGUGCUGCUUCGGCGGAGAACGGCGGCGGCGUUAAGAAGGAGAAGGAGAAGGGGAAGGANGAGGAAGAGGAAGGUGGGUAGGCCUGCGCUGAAGCCUCGUGUGCGCGAUUCCCAUUCGCUUUUGCAGAAGGUAAAAUCGUUUCAAUUUCCCCCCUUCCAGUUAACAAAUGCUGCUUCGUGCCUAGACCAGAGUAAGCGCAUUCCCUACACCUCUGCGAACAGGGUCGGAAGGAGGAGAAGAAAGGAGGAAAAAAUGGUGGUGAGAAGAUCAAGGUCGAGGAGGAGGAAGAAGAAGAUCAAGGCAGAGGAGUUAAAAAUCGUGCUAAGAAGAUCAAGUAUCGUGUGCCCGAUUCCCCUGCACAUCAGCAGAAGGUAAAAUCGUU